CUCAGGCCCAGGGGUCCGUGUCACCAGUCGUAACUUAUCCGGCGAUGGAGGCGGCGAUCUGAGGAUCCGUGCGCUGACAGAAACGAAGGGAGCGAAAAACUCGCUCCUUUUUUCGCCUUCUUCGAUCCAUCUCGAUCGUCUCGUCAAGACCCUACACCUCCAAAGGCAAGAACUUAACGGACAGCGUCUCCGUUUCACUCGAUCCGACCCCAAAUUGUUUGAUCCGCGGGUUUUACUGUAUGGCUGACGUAUAUAGCAUGAACACGCUUGGACCAUCGAGGAAAGGUACAAGGAGGCACGCGAGGGAAGGUGUCAGUCGUAAGAUGGUUCUGAAUUUGGACCUCAACUCUCCUCCGGUGGAGUGCCAGCUUCCUGAGGGGACUUCCGGUUGUAGACAUCCACGGAUUUCUCGAGGAACAUCUAUUUCCGUUGAUCCUCAGUCGGGUAAUCCGACCGGACGGCAGCAAGGGUCUUCUGCGCCAUCAAACGAUUGUUUAAAUGGUGGUUUGAUUGAUGUAGAGCUGAUAGAGGAUGACGUCGUGAUUCUCUCUUCCCCGAGAGGUCUUCCCCUGGUAGGCUGAAACACUUAAUUUUAGCGGAUUUGAAGACUGAUCUUUAUUCAAGUUUGUUCUUAUUGGAUUAGAGGAGGAACCACUCCAGAAGAGACCACCCUGUGACAGUGGUUCUAGAUGAAGAUCCGGAGACAAAUUUGAGACGAUCAGGCGAACAAGUGGUCAGAUCAUCUUUGAACACCAGCAACAAACGGUAUAAAAGUUCGACAAGCACGGCAGUUACUAGUUAUGAUCUUUAUCUUGGUUUGGAAGAGGACUACAAUUCCAAGAGGAAGAAUAUGAUGAAGUCUAAACUAGAGCCUGCGGAGGUAAUUAGGAAGGAACCUGCCUUCACCUGCCCUGUCUGCAUGGAUGCAUUGGUGGAGGCAGCAUCAACCAUCUGUGGCCAUAUUUUCUGUCUAAAGUGCAUAAAGGCCUCCAUUCAGGCACAGAAGAAAUGCCCAACCUGUAGAAGGAAACUCACUAAGAACAAUUUUCAUCGUGUUUAUCUUCCAUUUUCCGAUUGACACGACACCGAUUAGGUCCUUUAUGUUCUUCAUGAUUUUACCAGUGAUUCUUCCAGGUCCAAGAAUGUUUUUCAAUGUAGUUCAGGAACAAUGUGAUGAAAUAUGUGUUCAGGAACUACGUAAAAAAUAUCCAUCUCAUUACAAGGA